GCCCCCCCCUCCCUCACCCCGCCCCCCCCUGCUCCCCCUCCCCGCCCCGUCUCAGCAGUCAUGGCCGCGGAGCUCGGUAAAGUCUUAGGUUCAGAGAACAAAGCCUCGCUUGGUCGGGAGGGUUUCUUUCUCCCCCCCCCCCCUUUUUUUUAAAUUCGCGGUCCGCUCCACGCACACUCUUUCACUUACUCACUCGCACUUUUCGCUGUCACCUUCAGUUGGUCCAGGACUCUGUGCCCCGGAGAUGUUUUCUGUCUGUAUUUAGGUCUCGGUUUCCAACGUCUCUAGCUGCUUGUGUGUCUCUGGGAUGCGGGUCUCUCUUAAUAGCCCUCGGGGAGAACUUAGAACAAGAGACUGGAGGAGCCUUGAGAAAGGGGAUGCUGAUCCUAACUCCAAAUGCUGAGAUUCAUUCAACAGGAAAACAUUAAAGGCCUACUAUGUGCAAGUUGGUAAUGGGGAGUCAGAGAAGGUGUUUGAUGACGGAGUUGCCUUGAUUCGAGCCGAACAUUAAGAUUAAUCUAAUGUAAUGUUGAACUUGGAGGACAAGUUUUGGAGAUGGCCAUCAGUUUCCAGUUCAAUGGACCGUAGGGAAUCGUGGAAGCUUCUACCGACAAUACCCAAAGUCCAUCGAGUUCAACCCCUAGUCUCCAAGUUUCCCACCAUUAAAUACUCAUCUUUUCUCAAA